rnacentral:rRNA from 1 species
UACGUAGGUGGCAAGCGUUGUUCGGAAUUACUGGGCGUAAAGCGCGUGUAGGCGGCUUGGCAAGUCGGAUGUGAAAGCCCACGGCUCAACCGUGGAAGCGCAUCCGAAACGGCCUCGCUCGAGUCUCGGAGAGGAAGGUGGAAUGCUUGGUGUAGAGGUGAAAUUCGUAGAUAUCAAGCAGAACACCUGCGGCGAAGGCGGCCUUCUGGACGAUGACUGACGCUGAGACGCGAAAGCGUGGGGAGCAAACAGG